rnacentral:rRNA from 1 species
UGCGGAAGGAUCAUUAAUUGGACGAACAUGCUUCUCAGCACGAUGUUUCAAACCCCACCCGCGUAUCUUACCCGUUGCUUCCGUGCUGCACACGCCUGCGAAGGGGGGUGCCUCCUGGUCCGUGCUUCCGCGUACUGCGCGGCGGACCCCUGGGGGAGUCGGCACGGGAGGUUAACCGUAAAAAACCGUUUGCCUUUGAAUGUCUUCUGUCUGAACUGUAUUACGUAAAAAGUUAAAACUUUCAACAACGGAUCUCUUGGUUCUCGCAUCGAUGAAGAACGCAGCGAAAUGCGAUAAGUAGUGUGAAUUGCAGAAUUCCGUGAAUCAUCGAAUCUUUGAACGCACAUUGCGCCUCCUGGUAUUCCGGGAGGCAUGCCUGUUCGAGCGUCACUAAAAUCAACUCAAGCACUCCUGCAUGGUCGUGGGGGAAGAGUCCGUCUUGUUGCGGUCUCCCCCCCGAAAAUCAACGGCGGAAAGUCACUGGCACCCUGGCGUAGUAGUAUCGUUCGCUGAUCCACCAGUGUCGUUCCUGCCGGCAAAACCCCCCGCAAUUCAUCUUGAUUGACCUCGGAUCAGGUAGGGAUACCCGCUGAACUUAAGCAUAUCAAUAAGCGGAGGA